GGCAUGUCUGUAUGUCUGGCGAAAAAAGUGGGGGCGUUUAACGCCCCCCCCCCAGCAACUCGCGGGUUAAGGGGUACUAAUUGAAUGAAAAUGACGGAAGUGUUUGGUAAGCAGACGAGGAAUGGAUGACGAAAGGUAUGUGAGGGAAGGGCGAAAGGCGACGAGACGUGGAAAAGGACUACAAAAGGAGCGAUUAGAAGAAAGCAUAACUAAUAUCUCGCAUUGCAAUAGUUUCCUCACUGCGUUUCAAUAACCCGACUGACAUCCUAUCAAACACCGGUCCUGUCGGGCACACAAAAAGCCGCGACCGGAGCCGGCUACCUCAAUCGAAGUAGUCAGUCGAAGUCGACACGAUUACGUUUUGGCCACAUUAGUCUUGGCGGGGUGUCCGUCAUCCCACCCCGCCCUAAUCCCUCCAUCCCCCGGUAGGCACCACGGUCCGGCUCUGACCCAUGCCGCUGGCCUGUCCCUCCUGACGACUGGGGUCCCGUCUCCGUGACCCCUGGGGUCGGGUCGGGAGGACCGGCGGGUCAGGCUGGCGUCCCGCCUCGCCCGGGCGGUGCGUUCCUAGGGGAGGGUGUCGCGGGGAAGGGGGGGGCGAGAGGGCAGGGUUCACCCCAACAGGCGCGAUAAGGAAGACGGCACCCUCACUCGUCUUGAAGAGCCGGCAGACGACGGGCCUGUCUGCCGGUCCUUCAUACUCCACGUCUGAGGGCUCCUGGACCAACGAGUCUCCAGCUGAAUAUCCGAGAUGGAUCUGAAGUGGUGGGAGUGGAUACUGCUGGCGCUAGCGACGCUGAUCCCGUCUCUGCACUAUCGGAUGAUCCUGGCGACCGUGCCUCCAUUUCCGUGCUGUACGUCAAUCGGUGCGGACCCUCACUCGUGGUGGUGGCAGCUGUUCGGCUACGCCUGCCCCGCGUAUGUCUCGCCUGAGGAUGACUACCGGUGGUCAAACGAGCACGAAUCCGUCAGCAAGUUCAUUUGGUCGCUGCCGACAAAGUUUAAAGCCAUCUGUCCAUUUGGGUGGCGUCGUCAAAACGACAUAUGCUGCAGCAUGCACGCAGGAUAAGAAUGCUACACUAGUUUGUCCUGUCAAUACUGACCGGCUGUGCAUUUCGGCUAAAAGUGAUUACAUCGCCAAUGAUCACGAUAACGAAGGCAGUUGAUUUGGACUGAGGGUCGUGGGAUGCCCUGAUGUGUCGACUGAGGGAUACCCUUAUGUAGAGCGACCACGUCAGUGCGCGUAUUCAGCGCAGAAACUAAUCAGUGAGGUCAAUGUAACGGCUGAGCACGGUAAAAGGGAGACAAAACCAGCCCGGGAAUGCUGGUUUUGGCCGUAGUGAUCCUGAACUCUGGCUGCAUUUGUAGGUAUAGCCGCUCGCCGUUUUUGUGUGUGCUUGUAUUUUGUUUGUUUUCUACGGACGACGAUGCAUCUAGAUGUGUUGUUCCCUCUCGCUCCCAUCGCGCUUUCAUGAAGUAGUGUUUCAUAGAUGGUUGUGUUUUUUUUUCUCAUGUGCUUUGGUUAGUUUCCUGCACUACUAUGUAUAAUACGACCAUGUGUAUCCAGUGCAGUGGUAAGUUUCUUCCAGUUUACAGAUCGUUUCUUUACUCAGUUCGCUCUCAGUAACCGUCUACAGUGUGUUGUAGAGCCUGUCCGUGGCCGUGCUUUUGUCCACGCUUUGUGUAUGAUUUUAGCAUUAGAGUCAUUGUAACCGUGUUCCAUUUCGUGUGCCCUUGUGAGGCCUGGUAGAUAUUUGUAGGGAAGUAGGUAAUAGUGUCAUGCCUAAAAAUAAGAUUCCUUUCCUACCGAUAAUACCGACUAGUGAGCUCAUCUUCCGGGUAAUCUGUUGAGUGUAGACUGUACCAGUGUACCAGUGUACCUAGAAAGUGUAUGGGAAGAACUGCGUAAUGAGCAUAAGCACUAAUUUCUGGUGGUGGCCGUAGAAACUAUACUAAGGUGAUGGGUUUACUUACAAAACAUGUGCUUUUGUCAUUUAUAGAAUACAGAGUGGCUGGGUGGAUGCUGACAUGUAGCAAACGUGAGGAAAUGUGUGGCAACCUUGUAUCAAGUAGGAUGGCAGGGUGUUUGAUGUAGUGCUGGUUUGUUUAGAGCGCUUUUUCACGCCUGUGUGGGCCGAAUUGGCGUGUUUGAGACUGUGGUCCAUUUUACAAACUUAUGGGAGUAAAUUUGACUUGUGAGCUUAUCAUCUUGCAUGAGCUGAUGUGCGCUGAUUGGGACGAUACUUUCCUGGUGGAGGGCGAUACUAUCCCGGUGUUUUGGGCGAUAUUAACCUGUGGAAGGUUCCCGUUUAGUGGGGAGAUAAUAAGUAGAUAGCUACUAACACUGUGUGGGGAGAUAAGGGAUACUAACCAAUGUGUGGUACUUUGCCAGGCAAUGUGACGGCUUUGAAGUUUGUACCUACAUCGCAAGUUCGGAACAUACGGGUAGAUCCAGCGGUAGUCAAUGCAGCAUUACACUGUAGUGGACACAUUACUGCACUGUGAGCAAUGUACAAAGUGCCCUUAGGAAUGUUGCUUUCUAUUUAUGAAUUUGUGUAUUGUGUUACUUCGCUUAUGCUUAUUAUGAGUGUUUGUAAGGCAUGCUUUUGCGGGACAUGUAGAAAAGCAUUCAUGCACAAUGCCUCAUCAAGGGUCAUUAUGAGCUGCUUAUGUCUGGUCAUGCAUUGUCUUUGAGUGUGCACUGCAAUGUAUGAUCUCUACAAGGCGAAACAGUGUCAGGAAGGUCACACGUAAUUUACUCAAUACUCCAUCGCAAGUAGCAUUUCAAUCGCCUGCAUUCAGUGGCCUUUUAACCGGUGUGCCCUUCGUGUCACUUCCAUUCCCAUU